UAAUACGAAGGUGGCAAGCGUUGUUCGGAUUUACUGGGCGUACAGGGAGCGUAGGCGGUUGGGUAAGCCCUCCGUGAAAUCUCCGGGCCUAACCCGGAAAGUGCGGAGGGGACUGCUCGGCUAGAGGAUGGGAGAGGAGCGCGGAAUUCCCGGUGUAGCGGUGAAAUGCGUAGAGAUCGGGAGGAAGGCCGGUGGCGAAGGCGGCGCUCUGGAACAUUUCUGACGCUGAGGCUCGAAAGCGUGGGGAGCAAACAGGAUUAGAUACCCUGGUAGUCCACGCCUUAAACGAUGGAUACUAAGUGUCGGCGGGUUACCGCCGGUGCCGCAGCUAACGCAUUAAGUAUCCCGCCUGGGAAGUACGGCCGCAAGGUUGAAACUUAAAUGAAUUGACGG
rnacentral:rRNA from 1 species